CCUACGGGGCGCAGCAGUGAGGAAUAUUGGUCAAUGGGAGAGAUCCUGAACCAGCCAAGCCGCGUGAGGGAAGACGGCCCUAUGGGUUGUAAACCUCUUUUGUCGGGGAGCAACGGGGUCCUUGCGAGGUCCCAAUGAGAGUACCCGGAGAAAAAGCAUCGACUAACUCCGUGCCAGCAGUCGCGGUAAUACGGAGGAUGCGAGCGUUAUCCGGAUUUAUUGGGUUUAAAGGGUGCGUAGGCGGGCUGUCAAGUCAGCGGUCAAAUGUCGGGGCUCAACCCCGGCCUGCCGUUGAACCUGGCGGC
rnacentral:rRNA from 1 species